rnacentral:rRNA from 1 species
AUACGUAGGUGGCGAGCGUUGUCCGGAAUUACUGGGCGUAAAGGGCGUGUAGGCGGGAAUUUAAGUCAGAUGUGAAAACCCCGGGCUUAACUUGGGGACUGCAUUUGAUACUGGAUUUCUUGAGGACAGGAGAGGAAAGCGGAAUUCCUAGUGUAGCGGUGAAAUGCGUAGAUAUUAGGAGGAACACCAGUGGCGAAGGCGGCUUUCUGGACUGUAACUGACGCUGAGGCGCGAAAGCGUGGGUAGCGAACGGGAUUAGAUACCCCGGUAGUCCACGCCGUAAACGAUGGGUACUAGGUGUAGGAGGUAUCGACCCCUUCUGUGCCGGAGUUAACGCAAUAAGUACCCCGCCUGGGGAGUACGGCCGCAAGGUUGAA